rnacentral:rRNA from 1 species
UACGUAGGGGGCAAGCGUUGUCCGGAUUUACUGGGCGUAAAGAGCGUGUAGGCGGCCACGCAGGUCCGUUGUGAAAACUGGAGGCUCAACCUCCAGCUGUCGACGGAAACCGUAUGGCUAGAGUCCGGAAGAGGAGAGUGGAAUUCCUGGUGUAGCGGUGGAAUGCGCAGAUAUCAGGAGGAACACCGGUGGCGAAGGCGGGUCUCUGGGCAGUAACUGACGCUGAGGAGCGAAAGCGUGGGGAGCGAACAGG